CAUAUACAUUUACAACUAAUUUGUUUGCUCUUUUCCAUUUUUUUUUUUUUUUUUUUUUUUUUUUUAGGUGCUCUGAAGGGAAGUUGCAUAUCCUUCAGUGUCAAACAAGGUGCUUAAAUAAAAAUGAAGAUAUAAUAUAUAAAAACUGUAUAAAUGAUGUAAAAUCGAUUUGUAGUGGUAAAAAACACUGUGCGUAUUCGUUUAGUGAUGUUUUUAAUGUAAAAAAAAAUUCACAAUUAAAAGGUAACCAACAGCAACGAGAAGAUGAAUGUGUCGAAUCAGAUCAGAAUGAAGUAAUAUCAUCAGCAACAUGCAUAAUAAACGAAUCAUUGUUUUUGAAGGAACUUUCAACUAACUAUAUUUUUUUUUUAGAAAAUGAAAAUAGUGAUGCUAUAAUUUGUAAGAAAGGGAAAAUAAAUGUUUUAAAAACUGUUUCGGAAACUCCUUUUUGUGAUCGAAGAUCUAAAAACAUUACUGAUUUUGUAAAAAAAUUAUGUGAUGAUAAAAAAGAAUGUAUAGUUACCCCCUCCAAAUUUUUAACAAAUAAAUUAAAAGAAAGAGAUGAAUGUUAUAUUAAUACUUCGUAUUUUUCUAUGAAUGUAGUAUGUUUAUAUAAAAAAGAGACCACUGGAAUAGAACUAAAAAAGUUAGUUUAUGGUGACAUUACAUUGAAUAAUGGUAAUAAAAUUAAUAAAAAGAAUAAAGGUUGGCGUAUAUGGAAUAAAGGUAAUGAUGUAGAUUCAGAUGAUGAUACUACUGUUAGUGUCGCUAACAACAAAUCAAAACAUAACAACACUAAUAACAUUAAUAACAUUGAUCGAAUUUUAAAUAUUAUUAACAGUGGUUCGGGUAACAAAAAUGACAAUAGAGACCAUAAUGUUGUGUUAUACAAUGAUAAAACAAUAAUUAAUAUUUUUGAAAAUAAUAAAGGUAGUAUAGAAGUAAAAAUAACACGAGCGAAAGAUUAUAUACUAAAAAAAUUAAACGAAGAAUUAAAAAAAAAAAAUAAUAUAUUUGAAAAUUGGGGAAAAGAAUUAUCACAAAUAUUGAAUAAUAAAUAUAAACAUGUUGAUAUAAAAGAUUUGUUAGAAGAUAGGUAUAAUGAACUUAAAGAUUUUAUAAAUGAAGAUGUUUAUUACAUAUAUUUAGUUGACACAUUAAAUAUAAAUGAAAAAAAUUUUU
rnacentral:lncRNA from 1 species